rnacentral:rRNA from 1 species
AUUGAACGCUGGCGGCAGGCCUAACACAUGCAAGUCGAACGAGUGGCGGACGGGUGAGUAAUGUCUGGGAAACUGCCUGAUGGAGGGGGAUAACUACUGGAAACGGUAGCUAAUACCGCAUACCAUCAGAUGUGCCCAGAUGGGAUUAGCUUGUUGGUGGGGUAACGGCUCACCAAGGCGACGAUCCCUAGCUGGUCUGAGAGGAUGACCAGCCACACUGGAACGGAGACACGGUCCAGACUCCUACGGGAGGCAGCAGUUGGGAAUAUUUGACAAAGGGCGCAAGCCUUAUUCAGCCAUGCCGCGUGUAUGAAGAAGGCCUUCGGGUUGGAAAGUACUUUCAGGCGGGAGGCGUUACCCGCAGGAGAAGCCCCGGCUUACUCCGGGCCAACCGCCGCGGUAAUAC